AGUUUCCUUUUAAUAUACAUACUUGUUUAUAUUUUGACUUAUUAUAUCGAGAUAGCCUUUUUGUGUAUAAUUUCCCUCAUCGAGUCUUUGUCCUUGACAGUCUAUAAUAUUCCACAAGUGUAAAUAUAGGUAUAUAUGUAUAUAGAAAAUUGUUAAGUCAACCUACCUUUUGCUAAAUCAACUCAUUUAAAUAAGAAUCAUGCACAAGAAAUGCAGCACCCUCGUACAAAUUAUAAUUCCAGCUAAUAAACAAACAAACUAACAAGCUAGUGGAUUGGCGGGGGGGGGGAGUUUUUUUAGUUCGUUUGUUUUCUGGUGUAGGUGGCCUUCGACAGCAACUGCUCAUCAUCUUAUCCUAUCACUCAGCCUCAGCCGUCAAUCUCCCACUACCAACGGCAUGGAAUCGCCUUCGGGACGAUCUUUGCCUCAAUCCCGUCACGCUUGGCAUUGACACUCUUGAGAAUUCCCUACUGCUGGAAUCUGCCACAGCUGCUGUUGGGUUUGCCUCUGGGUUUGGGUUUUGGCUCGCGGCUCUGUGUUCGGAAGGACUCAAUUUGGUGGCGUGGCCAGUCCAUGGCUUAAUCCCGAAUUCGUUAGUCUCCCUUGCGAGAGAGGACUUUCCAAGGGUUGGGAGUUGCAAUGCAAUCCAUGGCAUGCGCGAGGUCGCUUGUGUACCAUGUGGGUGUCGUGGGAGGAUGCCCGCGUCGCGAGACGGGAAGCGCCAGGAAUUUGAGGGGUUGUGGAAUUUGGAAUGGUGGUGGGAUUAUGUGGAAGGCUGUGGAGCAGGACAAGGAGACGGGUGUUUCGAGUCGGCGACAAAUUGUUGCGCAGAGUGCCAGUGGGAGAGGUAGAGGAGACAGGAAUUGGGGUCCACAACGAAAA
rnacentral:lncRNA from 1 species